GAUGAACGCUGGCGGCGUGCCUAAUACAUGCAAGUCGAGCGAACAGACGCGGAGCUUGCUCCUCUGACGUUAGCGGCGGACGGGUGAGUAACACGUGGAUAACCUACCUAUAUGACUGGGAUAACUUCGGGACACCGGAGCUAAUACCGGAUAAUAUAUUGAACCGCAUGGUUCAAUAGUGAAAGACGGUUUUGCUGUCACUUAUAGAUGGAUCCGCGCCGCAUUAGCUAGUUGGUAAGGUAACGGCUUAUCAAGGCAACGAUGCGUAGCCGACCUGAGAGGGUGAUAGGCCACACGGGAACGGAGACACGGUCCAGACGCCUAAGGGAGGCAGCAGUAGGGAAUCGUCCGCAAUGGGCGAAAGCUUGACGGAGCAACGCCGCGUGUGUGAUGAAGGUCUUCGGAUCGUAAAGCUCUGUUAUUAGGGAAGAACAAAUGUGUAAGUAACUAUGCACGUCUUGACGGUACCUGAUCAGAAAGCCACGGCUAACUACGUG
rnacentral:rRNA from 1 species